rnacentral:rRNA from 1 species
GCAUAUCAAUAAGCGGAGGAAAAGAAACCAACCGGGAUUGCCUCCGUAACGGCGAGUGAAGCGGCAAGAGCUCAAAUUUGAAAGCUGGCUCCUUCGGAGUCCGCAUUGUAAUUUGCAGAGGAUGCUUUGGGUGCGGCCCCCGUCUAAGUGCCCUGGAACGGGCCGUCAGAGAGGGUGAGAAUCCCGUCUUGGGCGGGGUGUCCGUGCCCGUGUAAAGCUCCUUCGACGAGUCGAGUUGUUUGGGAAUGCAGCUCUAAAUGGGUGGUAAAUUUCAUCUAAAGCUAAAUACUGGCCGGAGACCGAUAGCGCACAAGUAGAGUGAUCGAAAGAUGAAAAGCACUUUGAAAAGAGAGUUAAACAGCACGUGAAAUUGUUGAAAGGGAAGCGCUUGCGACCAGACUCGCCCGCGGGGUUCAGCCGGCAUUCGUGCCGGUGUACUUCCCCGUGGGCGGGCCAGCGUCGGUUUGGGCGGCCGGUCAAAGGCCCCUGGAAUGUAGUACCCUCCGGGGUACCUUAUAGCCAGGGGUGCAAUGCGGCCAGCCUGGACCGAGGAACGCGCUUCGGCACGGACGCUGGCAUAAUGGUCGUAAACGACCCGUCUUGAAACACGGACCAAGGAGUCUAACAUCUACGCGAGUGUUCGGGUGUCAAACCCGUGCGCGCAGUGAAAGCGAACGGAGGUGGGAGCCCCCUCGCGGGGCGCACCAUCGACCGAUCCUGAUGUCUUCGGAUGGAUUUGAGUAAGAGCGUAAAUGUGGGGACCCGAAAGAUGGUGAACUAUGCCUGAAUAGGGCGAAGCCAGAGGAAACUCUGGUGGAGGCUCGCAGCGGUUCUGACGUGCAAAUCGAUCGUCAAAUUUGGGUAUAGGGGCGAAAGACUAAUCGAACCAUCUAGUAGCUGGUUCCUGCCGAAGU